rnacentral:rRNA from 1 species
ACGCUCGACACCUACGGGGGGCAGCAGUCGGGAAUAUUGCGCAAUGGAGGAAACUCUGACGCAGUGACGCCGCGUAUAGGAAGAAGGUUUUCGGAUUGUAAACUAUUGUCGUUAGGGAAGAAAAAGGACAGUACCUAAGGAGGAAGCUCCGGCUAACUACGUGCCAACNGCCGCGGUAAUCUGAGCGGGCUGGCAAGGC